GGUCAUACGACUAGGAUGAAGACUUGAGGGACAACUAUCAGGACCCAUUACUUCAACCGGAUUUGCUACGUGAAGAGAAAAUGGAAGGGUUCGAUAAUGAUAGCUUAAAGUUUAUAGUCCAUCCCUCUUUGGGAUACUAUGUCAUCGAGAAUGCUUACUUGGCUGACAUACUAAGGAAAAGCAUGAUACGAUACACGGGGGACCUACUAACAGAAUUAUGACUGAAUAUCUGGGAUCAGAAACUGAGGCAUAAAUAUGUAAAUGGGAGAUCUGUAACAUACCAGUGACCACAUUAGGAG
rnacentral:lncRNA from 1 species